rnacentral:rRNA from 1 species
UAGGCUGCAACUCGCCUACAUGAAGCUGGAAUUGCUAGUAAUCACAGGUCAGCAUACUGUGGUGAAUACGUUCCCGGGCCUUGUACACACCGCCCGUCACACCAUGAGAGUUGAGAAUACCCGAAGUCCAUGUCAAAGUGGCCGAAGGUAGGCUUGAUGAUUGGGGUGAAGUCGUAACAAGGUACC